AAUUCUCAACCUCACCUUUAAUGGGUGAAGCUUGGAUUUAUGGGGGGUGUGCUGGCACUUGUGUUGGCUCUCCUUAAAUGCAUUAGCAAGAUCGUCGUUGAUCAUCUUUGAUAUGAUAAAUUUAUCUAUAUCAUUGGUGAAUCAUGUCUUUUGCAAAUAUACAUUUAACUGUUUGACAUAAU
rnacentral:misc_RNA from 1 species